UACGUAGGGGGCAAGCGUUGUCCGGAAUCAUUGGGCGUAAAGAGCGUGUAGGCGGCCCGGUAAGUCCGCUGUGAAAGUCCAGGGCUCAACCCUGGGAUGCCGGUGGAUACUGUCGGGAUCGAGUCCGGAAGAGGAGUGUGGAAUUCCUGGUGUAGCGGUGAAAUGCGCAGAUAUCAGGAGGAACACCAAUGGCGAAGGCAGCACUCUGGGACGUGACUGACGCUGAGACGCGAAAGCGUGGGGAGCAAACAGG
rnacentral:rRNA from 1 species